AAAAGAAUCGCUGUGAAGUGGAAGUGGUUUUUUUUAGUUAAAUUUGUGGGCAAAAAAUUAAAACAAAUUUUGUUUUUAACUGCUUGUGAAAUCAUUGUGAAUUAAGAGAUACAUUUGUGCAUCCUGGAUUUUAUUAUUUUAGGGAAGAAUUAUAUUUUCAAGAAUUUAUUUCUGGAUUUGGAAACGAUUUCUCCUGAUUGAUUAUUGGCAGAGUUUAAAGACUUUGCGAGUUUUUAGGGACAGGGAAAAUAAACAAGGCGCUGCAACAAAGGAUGAGGAACUGAACUGGAGGAACACACAACGUCACCAUGAAAGUACUCCUGAUACUGGUGACUCUGGUGUUGGAGAUUCAACUUUACUUCACGGGGAGCCAGGCAAGGCACCAGCAGGAAUCAAGUGCCAAUAACGUGGUGCUGACGAGCAAUGAUAAAAGCGAA